rnacentral:rRNA from 1 species
CAGCCGCCACGGUAAUACGUAGGUGGCAAGCGUUGUCCGGCAUUAUUGGGCGUAAAGGGCUCGCAGGCGGUUUCUUAAGUCUGAUGUGAAAGCCCCCGGCUCAACCGGGGAGGGUCAUUGGAAACUGGGAAACUUGAGUGCAGAAGAGGAGAGUGGAAUUCCACGUGUAGCGGUGAAAUGCGUAGAGAUGUGGAGGAACACCAGUGGCGAAGGCGACUCUCUGGUCUGUAACUGACGCUGAGGCUCGAAAGCGUGGGUAGCAAACAGGAUUAGAUACCCCCGUAGUCCCUGUCUCUUAUAC